CUUUGUUCCUGCUCGCAAUAACAUGCAGUCUGGAGUAAACAACACGAAGAAAUGGAAGAUGGAGUUUGAUACCAGAGAGAGAUGGGAAAAUCCUUUGAUGGGUUGGGCAUCAACGGCCGAUCCCCUCUCCAACAUGGUUCUCACCUUCAGUGCCAAAGAAGAUGCGGUUGCCUUUGCAGAAAAGCAUGAUACUUAGCUGGACAACACCAAGCCAGCGUUUGAUCCCGGAACCCCCAUGGCAGGAAGAACUAACAUCUCCACAGUGUACUUUGACCUGUGCAUGAAUGCUGCAGUGUAAAUGUGAAUGCACAGUAAAUAAAUAUAAAGAAAACAUUUUUUAAAGUGUUAAAUAUAGAAUUUGAGCUGGAAAAAAACUUUGUUUCUAACACAGUAGUUUUUAGACUUGUUUGUUUUUCUCUACAUCAAAAUUUCUCCCUUCCCUGAUCACAAAAUAUAAAAUGGAAUGUCCAGUGUUAACAUCAAAGACCAAAUUUGAAAAAGAAACGGAGGAUAAGGUCACUGGCUCACAUUGUGUUUCUGAGUCUGCAAAAGUUCCUAAUGCUUAGUCAGCUAAAACCUAAUUGCAUAUAUCAUGAGGUGGUCUGUUCCAGUGUUACCAUUUCACUGUAAAGUUCUUCUUUUGAUCUAAAAGUCUAAUGCCUAUUAUUCUACCUAAUAGCCUAUUAAUUACUAGAAGCUAGUUAUUAUCAUGUUCAUCUUAAACUUCCCUUUAAGCUUAA
rnacentral:lncRNA from 1 species